rnacentral:rRNA from 1 species
AUUGAACGCUGGCGGCCGGCCUAACACAUGCAAGUCGAACGAGUGGCGGACGGGUGAGUAAUGUCUGGGAAACUGCCCGAUGGAGGGGGAUAACUACUGGAAACGGUAGCUAAUACCGCAUACCAUCGGAUGUACCCAGAUGGGAUUAGCGAGUAGGUGGGGUACCGGCUCACCAAGGCGACGAUCCCUAGCUGGUUUGAGAGGAUGACCAGCCACACGUGAACUGAGACACGGUCCAGACUCCUACGGGAGGCAGGAGUGGGGAAUAUUGCACCAUGGGCGCAAUCCUGAUGCAGCCAUGCCGCGUGUAUGAAGAAGGCCUUCGGGUUGUAAAGUACUUUCAGCGAGGAUGCGUUACUCGCAGAAGAAGCACCGGCUAACUCCGUGCCAGCAGCCGCGGUAAUAC